GGAUGUGAGGGUAAUCAGGUUGUGAUUGUCACCCCAUUGGUUGCCAGGGUUGAUUCGGCUGAUCUGGCUGGCUAGGUGGGGGUCUCCUUCCUCCCUCACUAUUCGAUGUGUGUCUCUCCCACAGAAGAGGAUGACCACCCUGAUAGAGCAGGACCGCUGCCUUGGUCAAGGGUAUACGAGUAGCUGUGCUCCCCUACUGGAACCUCUGAACAAGCUCUCAAAUUUGAGUUUUUUCUCACAAUACUCAGAAAAAAAUGAUCUCAUACUCAAACUCUCUGCUGCCAUCUCAUACAUGUGUAUACAGUGGACGUUCUCAU
rnacentral:snRNA from 1 species